rnacentral:misc_RNA from 1 species
AAACUCAAUAUCAUUAUCAUUUAUAAGAAGCGAGACAAAUAAUUUUUACAAAUAGAAUAAAGGAAGGAAGAGGGAGAAGGAGCAGCGACUGCGACGAUAGAAGUCGACUACGUGUAACGAGGUUAGGUCACGGUACUCCAGCAGCGAUUCCAGUUUCGCGUUUCGCCGCGGGUCUCUGGGAAAUGCACACCUGUCGUCUUCCCCUGAACGAGCAGACGAUGGCGAUGCCCCCUUUCUCUUCUACGCUUCUCUCUUGACGAUGCGUUCGUUCUUCUCUUUUCAUCCUCGUCCUCACUGUGAUAAUCCAACAAGCACUACACUAUUAAGGAAAUGAUAACAGUAAAAGUCCUAUUACAUAUUUUCAUUUUCAAUUU